GCCGCGGUAGCUCAGCCUGGGAGACCAACUCAUUGGCUCGUAAGCAUCCGGCUGAAGACCGGAGUGUCGUCGGCUCAAAUCCGACCCGCGGCA
rnacentral:tRNA from 1 species